rnacentral:sRNA from 1 species
UAACUUUGUGAUCUAUUUUCUGGGAAUCCUGGAAGUCAUUGGAGCGUGUGAAUGUUUGAAGGGAACCCAGGUCCCUGCCACUUUGCUUGAAUUACUACCUGGUUAAGCUCUAACAUGCUAAGACACCCAUAAUACCUUUAUGUAACGAUUGAGUCAGCCGAAUGUAGGUUCUAAACACAACAAACAUUUUCUCUAUUCAAGUUGGUGUCAAGUUAUAAAGUGAACUGAUGUAUUGUCCUGAACCCAGGAAGUUGAGCUGCUGAGAACGCAACUGUAGGCCUGUCUAGAAAGUCAUUCAGGACGUCACAACUGUAGGCCUAUCUAGAAACUCAUUCAGGACAAAAUCACUGCUAUCUAAUGACAUGCCUUCCAGAGACUACGCAACAUUGAAAGACGAGCUUUUAAAACAAGGCCGACUUUUUGUGGACCCUGACUUUCCGCCCGACACCUCAUCUCUUUAUACUGACGGCACGCCAAAGCGAGGCAAUGCGCCCCCUGGUGAGAUCGUUUGGAAGAGGCCAAAGUCACUUGUGAAAAAACCGGAAUUUAUCGUCGAUGGUGUAGAUAGAAAUGACCUUGACCAAGGUGAUCUAGGUAAACAUUGUGUGUGUGUGAAUUAAUAUUUAAAAAAUCACAACUUCUUACAGUCUUCACAACUUCUU